rnacentral:rRNA from 2 species
AGAGUUUGAUCCUGGCUCAGAACGAACGCUGGCGGCGUGCUUAACACAUGCAAGUCGAACGUGAUCCGGAGCUUGCUCCGGUGAAAGUGGCGCACGGGUGAGUAACGCGUGGAUAACCUGCCCUGGUAUCUGGGAUAACAUCUCGAAAGGGGUGCUAAUACCGGAUAAGCCUACGGGAUCUUCGGAUUCUGCAGGAAAAGGAGGCCUCUAUUUAUAAGCUUCCGUAUCAUGAUGGGUCCGCGUACCAUUAGCUAGUUGGUGGGGUAAUGGCCUACCAAGGCGACGAUGGUUAGCUGGUCUGAGAGGAUGAUCAGCCACACUGGAACUGAGACACGGUCCAGACUCCUACGGGAGGCAGCAGUGGGGAAUUUUGCGCAAUGGGGGAAACCCUGACGCAGCAACGCCGCGUGAGUGAUGAAGGCUUUCGGGUCGUAAAGCUCUGUCAGAGGGGAAGAAAUGAAACGUGCUAAUAUCACGUUUUCUUGACGGUACCCUCAAAGGAAGCACCGGCUAACUCCGUGCCAGCAGCCGCGGUAAUAC